GUGCUUACAAAGUAGGUGCUCAAUAAUUGUGAUGCUCUUCCCAGGCUGACCAUUUGCCAUAUUAAGACCAUGCACGUGUCCCCAGACCUAGUUCUUUUUCUACGUCUGGUUUUAUAAAUGCUGGUGAUGAAC
rnacentral:snoRNA from 14 species